rnacentral:tRNA from 1 species
AAGUGUAGUUUAAUGGUAGAACUGUAGCUUCCCAAGCUCCUGGCGCGGGUUCGAUUCCCGUCACUUG